GCAUGAAGACUAGGUCAACAUUUUUAAGGAUUCAUAAGUGCUAAAAACGUUACUAUUUGCUUCAUAAAGCCUCCUAGCCGUUUUUGACACUCUUUGGUGGAUUAGGGUUACACUUUAAUGCUUAUGAUGACUCAUUAAUGCUUCUUAUGGCUCCUUAAUGAAGCAUAGCCGUUUUUUUUCAUUCACAAGUCUCAUGGACGUUUUUUUUGUGUUCUUUCAAGAGUUACCUUAAUUUCUAUUUACUAGUUUUAAUGAAUAAUUGGUUGGUUGGCUUGUAACCACCAAAUUUGUAAUAAAGGCUUCAUAUAAAGCCAAAUUAUGCAUGGAAAAAGUGUUACACGAAUUUUAAUCAAAGAACCAUUAUUUUCACUUUGAAUUAUUGUUAUAAUUCUCAAAUUAUCUUGUUGGGACGUGUUCUUGACUUGAUAGGAACNUGGUUGGAUGAUGGAAGCAAAAUAAAGGUGACAAAACAGGUUAGAGUUGGUCUAACUAUGGGGUCUUAUGAAGAUGAAGUGUUGUGUGAUGUUAUUCCUAUGGAUGCAUGUCAUAUUUUGUUGGGGCGUCCUUGGCAAUUUGAUAGGGACGUGUUACAUAGAGGGAGGAGCAAUGAAUAUGAGUUGAAACACAAUAAUAAAAAAAUUGUGUUAAAACCCAUGUCCCCAACGGCCAUAAGGUCCAUGAAUUCUAAACAAGUAAAAAAACCUAAUCUUUCUAUGUUUGCUAGUGAAAGGGAGGUGGAGCAAGUUCUUGACAAAGGUGAUGUUAUCUACAUGCUUGUGGCCAAAGAGCAUGCAAAGGUGGAGAAGAUGGUGCAUGGAGAAAACGCUAUUGCUGAUUUGCUUUUGGAGUUUCAAGAUGUGUUUCCAAGCGAAUUACCACCGGGUUUGCCUCCAAUCCGUGGUAUCGAACACCAAAUUGACCUUAUUCCGGGUGCUCCUUUGCCCAAUAAAGCCGCCUAUAGAUGUAAUCCGGAGGUGACAAAAGAGUUGCAAAAACAAAUUGAUGAACUCAUGAAAAUGGGUUAUGUUCGUGAAAGCCUAAGUCCUUGUGCUGUUCCAGUUUUGUUGGUUCCAAAAAAAGAUGGUUCUUGGAGGAUGUGUGUUGAUAGUAGGGCCGUUAAUAACAUCACCAUAAAAUACCGAUUUCCUAUUCCUAGAAUUGAUGAUUUGUUGGACGAGUUGCAUGGUUCUAUUGUGUUCUCAAAAAUUGAUUUGAGAAGUGGUUACCAUCAAAUUCGUAUGCGUGAAGGGGAUGAAUGGAAAACAGCCUUUAAAACUAAACAUGGCUUGUAUGAAUGGACCGUGAUGCCUUUCGGUCUAACUAAUGCACCUAGCACUUUCAUGCGACUAAUGAAUGAAGUGCUAAAAUCUUUUUUGGGCAGGUUUGUGGUUGUGUACCUUGAUGAUAUCUUGGUAUAUAGCAAGAGCUUGGAGGAUCAUUUGGUGCACUUAAAACAGGUUUUCGAGACGCUUAGAGCUCAAAAACUCUAUGGGAAGCAAGAAAAAUGUUCGUUUUUGGUGGAAGAAGUGGCAUUUUUGGGUUUUGUGGUGUCAAGAAAUGGCGUGUCCGUGGACCCAUCCAAGACUGAAGCAAUCAAGUCAUGGCCUAUUCCUACUAAUAUUUCUGAAGUUAGAUCAUUUCAUGGUCUUGCUUCUUUCUAUAGAAGAUUUGUUCGUGAUUUUAGCACCAUUGCAAGUCCCAUAACAGGUUGUUUGAAGAAAGGAGUCUUUGCAUGGGGAGAAGAAGCUCAAAAGGCAUUUGAGAAACUCAAGGCAUUGUUGUGUGAUGCUCCUAUUUUGGCUCUUCCUGAUUUUUCUCAACCAUUUGAAGUGGAGUGUGAUGCAAGUGGAGUUGGUAUUGGGGCUGUUUUGAUCCAAUCCAAACGUCCUAUUGCUUAUUUUUCUGAAAAGUUGGGUGGUGCUCGUUUGAAUUAUUGCACUUAUGAUAAGGAGUUUUAUGCUAUUGUCCGUGCUUUAGAUCAUUGGAGUCAUUAUUUGCGUGCAAAUCAUUUUAUUUUGCAUUCUGAUCAUGAAUCCUUAAAGUACAUCAAUGGGCAACAAAAGUUGAGCACAAGACAUGCAAAGUGGGUGGAGUUCUUGCAAUCCUUUCAUUUUUCAUGCAAAUACAAGGAUGGCAAAAGCAAUGUGGUGGCUGAUGCACUCUCGAGGCGUUACUCAUUGUUGGUGACUUUGGAUGUUCGUUUCUUGGGAUUUGAAACUCUAAAGGACCAUUAUCAAUCUGAUAUGGACUUUGGAGAUAUGUUUUUGAAAUGUGCAGGUGGUCCUAAUGGUGAAUUUGUGAUUCAAGAUGGCUUUCUAUUCAAAGGCAAUCGCCUUUGUGUCCCAAAACAUGCAAUACGGGAGUUGUUGAUUCGUGAAGCUCAUGGCGGUGGUUUGGCUGGUCAUUUUGGCAUUACCAAAACUUUGCAGGUGCUUAAAGAACAUUUCUUUUGGCCGAAGAUGUUGGGGGAUGUAACUAACAUAGUGGGCAAGUGUGUUACAUGUCAUAUGGCGAAAAUAACUUUCAAGCAUGGUGUUUACACUCCUUUUCCGGUUCCUAUUCGUCCUUGGGAAGAUGUGUCCAUGGAUUUCAUUAUGGCUUUGCCUAGAACUCAAAGGGGGAAGGAUUCCAUUAUGGUGGUGGUGGAUAGGUUUUCAAAAAUGGCUCACUUUGUGCCAUGUCAUAAAACAAAUGAUGCAUCUAACGUGGCUGAUUUGUACUUUAAAGAGGUGGUUCGUUUGCAUGGUAUUCCUAAAACAAUUGUUUCUGAUAGGGAUUCCAAGUUUCUAAGUUACUUUUGGAACACUUUGUGGAGGAAAGUCGGUACUAAGUUACUUUUUAGUACAUCCCAUCAUCCACAAACGGAUGGGCAAACGGAGGUGACUAAUAGAACUUUGGGUACUUUGUUGAGAGGGUUGGUUAGCAAAACUCAAAAAGAUUGGGACAUCAAACUUGCACAUGCUGAAUUUGCCUAUAAUCGUUCUCCUACUUAUGCUACAGGUCACUCUCCUUUUGAGGUGGUGUAUGGUGUGAAUCCUUACAUGCCUUUGGAUUUGAUUCCAUUGCCAAAGGAUGAAUUGGUUCACAAGGAUGCUAAUGACAAGUUGAAGGCUAUGAUGAAACUACACCAACAAGUUCGUGAGAAGAUUGAAGCCGUGAAUGAGUUGUACAAACAGAAGUCCAACAAGCAUAGGAAACCACGUGUCUUUCAAGAUGGUGACUUGGUGUGGGUGUAUAUGAGGAAAGAACGUUUUCCUAACAAAAGGAAAAACAAGUUGAUGCCAAGAGCUGAAGGUCCUUACAGAGUGGUGUCACGUGUCAAUGAUAAUGCUUAUAAGGUAGAUUUGGGAGGAGACCAUGGAGUGCAUGCUACCUUUAAUGUGGGAGAUCUUUCACCUUAUCUUGAUGAUGAUGGACUUGAUGAAUUGAGGUCAAUUCCUUUCAAAGGGGGAGGGGAUGAUCCAUGCAUGGAUCAUGAAAGCCCAAAAUGUGAUGGAUUAGUGAUUACUAGUGGGCUAGAAGGUGGUUUGGGCUCAAUGGUUGGGUUGUGCAUGGUAACCCACAAAUUGAAUUAGGGUUGCAUGAAGACUAGGGCAACAUUUUUAAGGCUUCAUAAGUGCUAAAAACGUUACUAUUUGCUUCAUAAAGCCUCCUAGCUGUUUUUGACACUCUUUGGUGGAUUAGGGUUACACUUUAAUGCUUAUGAUGACUCAUUAAUGCUUCUUAUGGCUCCUUAAUGAAGCAUAGCCGUUUUUUUUCAUUCACAAGUCUCAUGGACGUUUUUUUUUGUGUUCUUUCAAGAGUUACCUUAAUUUCUAUUUACUAGUUUUAAUGAAUAAUUGGUUGGUUGGCUUGUGACCACCAAAUUUGUAAUAAAGGCUUCAUAUAAAGCCAAAUUAUUCAUGGAAAAGGUGUUACACGAAUUUUAAUCAAAGAACCAUUAUUUUCACUUUGAAUUAUUGUUAUAAUUCUCAAAUUAUCUUGUU
rnacentral:lncRNA from 1 species